GAACUUGUGUGCUUAGGCCUUACGCUGGGAGGAGAUGCUGCCACCUAGGUUACUUGUAGGACCCUUUACGGCAACCUCCCUUGCCAGGAACUAUUUAGGAACAUUCUGCAGUGAAGUAGAAGAGACAGGGAUAUCCCAGAAGGUUAUGCAAAACAUCAAGAGAAGAUGAGAGGUCAGAGAUGGGAAGAAACAAGAACUUUGACAUGCUUGGUGUUCUUGCCCAAGCUUUGAAGAAGUUUACAAAGUCUAUAUGUCAGAAUACACACUGCCCACCUUGCCCAACAG
rnacentral:antisense_RNA from 1 species